rnacentral:rRNA from 1 species
ACAAUCCUGGCACUCAUGGCUGGGGAUAACAUCUUGGAAACAGAUUGCUAAUACCGAAUAAUACUUAUUGUCGCAUGACACAAAGUUAAAAGGCGCUUCUGCGUCACCUAGAGAUGGAUCCGCGGUGCAUUAGUUAGUUGGUGGGGUAAAGGCCUACCAAGACAAUGAUGCAUAGCCGAGUUGAGAGACUGAUCGGCCACAUUGGGACUGAGACACGGCCCAAACUCCUACGGGAGGCUGCAGUAGGGAAUCUUCCACAAUGGGCGAAAGCCUGAUGGAGCAACGCCGCGUGUGUGAUGAAGGCUUUCGGGUCGUAUAGCACUGUUGUAUGGGAAGAACAGCUAGAAUAGGAAAUGAUUUUAGUUUGACGGUACCAUACCAGAAAGGGACGGCUAAAUACGUGCCAGCAGCCGCGGUAAUACGUAUGUCCCGAGCGUUAUCCGGAUUUAUUGGGCGUAAAGCGAGCGCAGACGGUUUAUUAAGUCUGAUGUGAAAGCCCGGAGCUCAACUCCGGAUUGGCAUUGGAAACUGGUUAACUUGAGUGCAGUAGAGGUAAGUGGAACUCCAUGUGUAGCGGUGGAAUGCGUAGAUAUAUGGAAGAACACCAUUGGCGAAGGCGGCUUACUGGACUGCAACUGACGUUGAGGCUCGAAAAGUGUGGGUAGCAAACAGGAUUAAAUACCCUGGUAGUCCACACCGUAAACCGAUGAACCACUAGGUUGUUAGGAGGUUUCCGCCCUCUUAAUUGCCGAAGCCUAACCGCAUUUAAUGUGUUUCCCGCCCUGGGGGAAGUACCAACCCGCAAGGGUUUGAAAACUCCAAAAGGAAAUUUGACCGGGGGACCCCGCCACCAAGCCGUG